GGAGAGGUGUCAGAGAGGUCUAUAGUGCGAUCUUGGAAAGGUCGUGUGCUGAAAGGCACCGCAGGUUCAAAUCCUGUCCUCUCCGCCA
rnacentral:tRNA from 1 species